GACGAACGCUGGCGGCGUGCCUAAUACAUGCAAGUUGAGCGAUGAAGAUUGGUGCUUGCCCCCAUUUGCAGAGCAGCGAACGGGUGAGUAACGCGUGGGGAAUCUGCCUUUGAGCGGGGGACAACAUUUGGAAACGAAUGCUAAUACCGCAUAACAACUUUAAACAUAAGUUUUAAGUUUGAAAGAUGCAAUUGCAUCACUCAAAGAUGAUCCCGCGUUGUAUUAGCUAGUUGGUGAGGUAAAGGCUCACCAAGGCGAUGAUACAUAGCCGACCUGAGAGGGUGAUCGGCCCCAUUGGGACUGAGACACGGCCCAAACUCCUACGGGAGGCAGCAGUAGGGAAUCUUCGGCAAUGGACGAAAGUCUGACCGAGCAACGCCGCGUGAGUGAAGAAGGUUUUCGGAUCGUAAAACUCUGUUGGUAGAGAAGAACGUUGGUGAGAGUGGAAAGCUCAUCAAGUGACGGUAACUACCCAGAAAGGGACGGCUAACUACGUG
rnacentral:rRNA from 1 species